rnacentral:rRNA from 1 species
UACGAAGGGGGCUAGCGUUGCUCGGAAUUACUGGGCGUAAAGGGCGCGUAGGCGGAUAGUUUAGUCAGAGGUGAAAGCCCAGGGCUCAACCUUGGAAUUGCCUUUGAUACUGGCUAUCUUGAGUAUGGAAGAGGUAUGUGGAACUCCGAGUGUAGAGGUGAAAUUCGUAGAUAUUCGGAAGAACACCAGUGGCGAAGGCGACAUACUGGUCCAUUACUGACGCUGAGGCGCGAAAGCGUGGGGAGCAAACAGGAUUAGAUACCCUGGUAGUCCACGCUGUAAACGAUGAGUGCUAGUUGUCGGCAUGCAUGCAUGUCGGUGACGCAGCUAACGCAUUAAGCACUCCGCCUGGGGAGUACGGUCGCAAGAUUAAA